CCAUGACCCAUUUUCAAUGGCCUGGCUGAAGGAAGGAGGUUCUUACCCAAGAUGUGACGGUCCUUUGCUCUUGUCAAUCUUCCCUUUUAUGUGGUGCAGUUGUCCUGUCCCCUUAGCAGAAAAACACCCUGUGAUCCUUGUUUGCAGAUAGCACGGUCCUCUUGGGUAAACAACAGGCACAGUCCUUUGGUUUUCAUAUAGUACAGGCAAUUUUAUU